rnacentral:rRNA from 1 species
UACGUAGGGUGCGAGCGUUAAUCGGAAUUACUGGGCGUAAAGGGUGCGCAGGCGGCCAUGCAAGUCGAGUGUGAAAGCCCCGGGCUUAACUUGGGAAUUGCGCUCGAAACUACGUGGCUGGAGUGUGGCAGAGGAAGGUGGAAUUCCACGUGUAGCGGUGAAAUGCGUAGAGAUGUGGAGGAACACCAAUGGCGAAGGCAGCCUUCUGGGCCAACACUGACGCUCAGGCACGAAAGCGUGGGGAGCAAACAGG